rnacentral:rRNA from 1 species
CAGUAGCCGCGGGAAUACGUAGGUGGCAAGCGUUAUCCGGAAUUAUUGGGCGUAAAGCGCGCGUAAGCGGUUUUUUAAGUCUGAUGUGAAAGCCCACGGCUCAACCGUGGAGGGUCAUUGGAAACUGGAAAACUUGAGUGCAGAAGAGGAAAAUGGAAUUCCAUGUGUAGCGGUGAAAUGCGCAGAGAUAUGGAGGAACACCAGUGGCGAAGGCGACUUUCUGGUCUGUAACUGACGCUGAUGUGCGAAAGCGUGGGGAUCAAACAGGAUUAGAUACCCCUGUAGUCCCUGUCUCUUAUAA